rnacentral:miRNA from 1 species
UCAACAGACAUUUAUUGUGUGC